AGUUCAUUUAAUUCAUGUGCUUCGAGGAAUUUAUACGGAUACCGAGGUAUAUCGCAUUCGAUUACAUUUUUUCGGAUAAUCCGUAGUUAAUCAAAGUCGCGUAAUCGCGUAAUCGCGUUCUCGAGACAGUUGCUCCGGGCGAGUGAAGUUGGCCGUGCGCGAUUUACGAAAUUCUCUCCGCCACCUUCGCUUCACUUGUCGUGUCUACCUGCGCGCGGGUAUCGCGGGAUGUCACGGUGCGGCGUCAUGGCGUCAUGGGCGUCAAGCGGAUCGUAUAGUUUCGUUCGUAGUUUCUUCGACCGCGACGUAAUUCUUCUGUCGCCGUGUAAUUAAGUUUCUUAGUACCGCGUCGCGAGAUUAAUACCGGGAGUGCCGUGUGCCUUUAGUGUCGCGCGAUCAUAAGAGGAGACGAUAUCGUCGAUUUUCGCUCGUGAACGUCGUCGCGUUGUGAGUGAGUGCGACAAUGGACCAACGGAGUAACGGAGGACGAUCGAGGAGAGGAGAACGGGGCCUGGGAGGCAUCGGGCGACGGCGGAGCGACCGUGGGAUCAACGCAGAAUUACAACUCCGCUGUUGCGCAUCGGCCGCUUAAUGCUAAGGUAGCACCGCCACGAUUUUCUCCGAAAUGGCACGGGAUACAAAAUUGUUAUUAGUGGUACAAAUUAGUACAAAAUGGGUACUAAAUAUUCUGAUAGGUCCGGUUUGAUUCUGCCGAUUUGGUCCUGCUAGCUUAGAAGAGGUCUCGAUAGCACGUAAAUGAUGCAUAAGUAUA